CGCUUGAGCUUAAUAUUUAUGAUGGUUUUGGAUACCUUGUGUCAUGCAAUGCAGAGUUUCCAUUCGAAUUCUGGGCCUUAGAAGUUGCACUAGAAGCUAUUUGUAGUUGUCUUGAUGCUCGCACAAGAGAAUUGGAAGCUGAAGCUUAUUCAGCUUUAGAUGAGCUGACCUCCAAGGACAGACAAACCAGUCUGGAAUUCUUAGUGGGAUUGGAGGGAUCUCUCAAUAUUUGGCAACCAAAUUUGAUUCAAAAUGUCAGGGCAUCACCAUCACUCCAAGCUCAAAGGGUCAAUUCUCUCUCUUCUGCUCAAGGAUUGGCCACUCAAAGGCAAAGGCAAGCACAUGUAUGUGAAUUUGCACAAGCUUAAAUUCUUAAUAUUUUUUUUUAGUUUUUGAGUAUGUUUUAAAUCUGAUCUAUGAUGCUCUGUUUUUUGUGCUAUUUUUGCUCUCCAAGUGUUCUAGUUAUUCACAAUCAUAUGAGUAAAAUAUUUGUGCUAUUGUGUGAUGGAUUUAGCUUAAAUGGGUUUAUUAAUUUUGCAGGUAUAUACAUUUGUGCUACAAGGGUUGUUUAACUAUAGUUAUAGGUCAAAUUUUAUAUCUUUAUCUAAUUUUUG